rnacentral:rRNA from 1 species
UACGUAGGGCGCAAGCGUUGUCCGGAAUUAUUGGGCGUAAAGAGCUCGUAGGCGGCCAGUUGCGUCUGCUGUGAAAUCCCGGGGCUCAACCCCGGGCGUGCAGUGGAUACGGGCUGGCUAGAGGCAGGCAGGGGAGAACGGAAUUCCCAGUGUAGAGGUGAAAUUCGUAGAUAUUGGGAAGAACACCAGUGGCGAAGGCGGCUCUCUGGACCGUAACUGACGCUGAGGCGCGAAAGCGUGGGGAGCAAACAGG